rnacentral:rRNA from 1 species
UACGGAGGGCGCUAGCGUUGUUCGGAAUUACUGGGCGUAAAGAGCUCGUAGGCGGCUUUGUAAGUUAGAGGUGAAAGCCCGGAGCUCAACUCCGGAACUGCCUUUAAGACUGCAUCGCUUGAAUCCAGGAGAGGUGAGUGGAAUUCCGAGUGUAGAGGUGAAAUUCGUAGAUAUUCGGAAGAACACCAGUGGCGAAGGCGACUCACUGGACAUGUAUUGACGCUGAGGUGCGAAAGCGUGGGGAGCAAACAGG